rnacentral:rRNA from 1 species
CCUACGGGUGGCUGCAGUGGGGAAUUUUGGACAAUGGGGGCAACCCUGAUCCAGCCAUGCCGCGUGCGGGAAGAAGGCCUUCGGGUUGUAAACCGCUUUCGGCCGGAACGAAAUCGCCGGGGAGAACAUCCCCGGUGGAUGACGGUACCGGAAGAAGAAGCACCGGCUAACUACGUGCCAGCAGCCGCGGUAAUACGUAGGGUGCGAGCGUUAAUAGGAAUUGCUGGGGGGAAUCGCUAAGCCGGCUGUUAAAGCCCCGGGCUUAACCUGGGAACUGCGUUUGUGACUGGCGGGCUGGAGUGCGGAAGAGGGAGGUGGAAUUCCACGUGUAGCAGUGAAAUGCGUAGAGAUGUGGAGGAACACCGAUGGCGAAGGCAGCCUCCUGGUCUAGCACUGACGCUCAUGCACGAAAGCGUGGGGAGCAAACAGGAUUAGAUACCCUAGUAGUC